rnacentral:tRNA from 2 species
GGUCCUAUGGUGUAAUGGUUAGCACUCUGGACUUUGAAUCCAGCGAUCCGAAUUCGAAUCUCCGUGGGACCU